rnacentral:tRNA from 2 species
GCCUUAUUAGCUCAGUGGUAGAGCGCGUCACUAGUAAAUAACCUGGGUCCGCGGUCAUGACGAGGUCAGUCGUUCAAAUCGGCUAUGAGGCA